GAUGAACGCUAGCUACAGGUUUAACACAUGUAAGUCGAGGGGUAACGAGAGGAAAGCUUGCUUUCCUUGUCGACGACCGGCGCACGGGUGAGUAACGCGUAUCCAACCUGCCCCCAACUAGGGAAUAACCUUGCGAAAGUAAGACUAAUACCCUAUAAUUUCCUCAGAUGACAUCUGACGAGGAAUAAAGAUUUAUCGGUUGUGGAUGGGGAUGCGUCUGAUUGGGUUGUUGGCGGGGUAACGGCCCACCAAGGCAACGAUCAGUAGGGGUUCUGAGAGGAAGGUCCCCCACAUUGGAACUGAGACACGGUCCAAACUCCUACGGGAGGCAGCAGUGAGGAAUAUUGGUCAAUGGGCGGAAGCCUGAACCAGCCAAGUAGCGUGCAGGAUGACGGCCCUAUGGGUUGUAAACUGCUUUUAUACAGGAAUAAAGUUAGCCACGUGUGGUUAUUUGUAGGUACUGUAUGAAUAAGGACCGGCUAAUUCCGUGCCAGCAGCCGCCGUAA
rnacentral:rRNA from 1 species